UACGUAGGGUGCGAGCGUUAAUCGGAAUUACUGGGCGUAAAGCGUGCGCAGGCGGUUUUGUAAGCCAGAUGUGAAAUCCCCGGGCUUAACCUGGGAAUGGCAUUUGGGACUGCAAGGCUGGAGUGUGGCAGAGGAGACUGGAAUUCCUGGUGUAGCAGUGAAAUGCGUAGAUAUCAGGAGGAAUACCGAUGGCGAAGGCAGGUCUCUGGGCUGACGCUGACGCUCAUGCACGAAAGCGUGGGGAGCAAACAGG
rnacentral:rRNA from 1 species